rnacentral:lncRNA from 1 species
CUUUUUAAAAAUAGCUUUAUUGAAGUAUUGUUUACAUACAAUUAACUGCACAUAUUUAAAUUGUACAGUUUGUUAAGUUUUGAGACAAGAGCUGUUCAUAUUACAAUGACUUCUGACUCGGGUUUUAUUACAGCCAAAGGAUACAAAUCAGAAACAGCUGAAGCAAAAGACACAGGCUGGUCGCUGUGGCACACACCUCUAAUCCCAGCAGCUCAGGAGGCUGAGGCAGGAGAAUUGCCAGUUCAAAGCCAGCCUCAGCAAUGGGGAGGCACUAAGCAACUCAGUGAGACCCUGUCUCUAAAUGAAAUACAAAAUAGGGCUGGGGAUGUGGCUCAGUGGUUGAGGGUCUCUGAGUUCAAUCCCUGGUACCAAAAAAAAAAAAAAGACACAUAGGGCAAGACCAGGGAGGGACCCAAACGUGGAACCCCUGUGUGCUCUCCUCCGAAGCAUUACUCUCCCAGCUCGUGAACUUGUGACACUGCAUCCCAACAGGAAGACUCGGCCAACUGUUGAUGUGCUCAGUUUUUACUGGAGCUUCAUUACAUAGGCAGCAAUCAUUGACUCACUGGACUGUCACUCCAUCAGUCCCUUCCUCUCCCCAGAAGUCAGGCUGACAUCAAAUGGCUAGAAGUCCUAACCUUCUAAUCACAUAGUCUUUCUGCCACCACCAGCCCCCAUCCUAAGUCAUUCA